AAAUUAGAGAACAUGAUGUUGGUUCAGAUCUAAUGCUAUGUAGAGACAUAACACAUGCAAGUUAUAAAAAAAAUAGCGUUAAGGUGAGUGAUAUAAGAUAAAGAAAAUAUCUUAUUCAGAUGUAGGUAAUAGAUAAAAAAUCUAGCCAUGGAACUGGAGCCGGCGAUAAGCGUCACAACGGCCACAUUGAUAUUAAUCAACUCUUAUAUAGAGCAGCAGUGGGGAAUCUUUGACAAUGGUCUAACGACUGAUCAAGUUAUCUACGAGAAGGAUAUUAAAUAUAUAAUAUGCCACUUUUAGUGGAAAAAAAAAUAAUAAAAGAUUAACUAUAAACUUCUAAAUAAUAGUAAUAAUGAUACUAAUUAUGAAAGAGUCCUAACUAAGAUAUGUGCCAGCAGCUGCGGUGUGCGACAAGAGGCUAUUCUUUACAAUUCGAAAUCAUUUAUGAUAUUUCGACAUUAUACGUAACAUAUAUGUACCUAUCUACACAUGCGUUGGGAGUAAUCCUGGGGUGUGAAGCUGUAGAGAAAAUGUAACCAAAGACUAUUAUCACGUGGUUAAGGAGCUAGGUAAGUUUACUAUGGUUAGCGAAAGCCAACUACUCGACGAGAUCUCUUUAGGCUGAACCUUCAACUGUGAUUGAAAAAUGGAAGGAUUGUCAGGAGCUUAGAUAGAAUCAUCGCAUGUCUAUCUUGUUACAGGCGUUAAAACUGACAGGGAUAAAGAGUAGAACCUAAGGUAAAUGUAAGUGUAAAGAAUGGAACUUGGUAAGCCUCAUAUUCACUAUUAACAAGGUAAUUUGUUAAUAGAGGUUAUUUAUAAAAUAUAGUUUCGCAGGCUAUAUGGAAAUAAUAAUAUCGAAUAGGAGGUAGAAGACUUCUUAAAAAGCGAAUGCAAUAAUGUAAUGUUAUUGAUAGGUUAUAUAACUAACCUGAAAGGGUGCUGACUUAAGAAAUGGGUGUUAUAACUGUUAUUUUUUGAAGAACGAACGCUUGAGACGUUUGAUUGAUACCCGGAAAUCGAAUAAGGGAAUAAUAUCAAUAUUUGAAUUUGUAUUUUAGGGGCUAAUUAGCUUUGCGAUAUGAGAAACUUUAACUAUUUUUUUCAAUGUCAUGGAUUCGAUCGUGAUAAAUUUAUAAAUAAUAUAAAAGUUCUUCAAUUGCAAAUAGCAGAAGCAGCAAAUAUUAAGGAUAAUGAUAAAAUUACUUUAUUACAAAAAGAAAUAACCUCAUCCAAAGAGGCAUGUCUAUUAGCUAUAAAUAAUGUAUUAUCUAAUAAAGGUGCAAAAACACCCGGAGUAGAUGGUAUAAAAGCUGAUGAAAAAUUAAACUUAUCUAAUCUAUUAGAUGAGUUAAUGGAUCAUGAGAAUUAUAUAGCUAAACCUGUAAGAAGAAUUUAUAUUUCUAAAACUAAUGGAAAGAAAAGACCUUUAGGUAUUCCUAUAAUUAAAGAUAGAUGUAUGCAAGAUUUAUAUCGUAUGGCAUUACUGCCAUUAGCUGAAAGAAAUGCCGACUAUAAUUCAUUUGGAUUUAGGCCUGGUAAAUCACAGCACGAUGCAAUAACAGCAGCAGUUUAUGCUUUAUUUGCGGUCGGAAAUGAUCAAAAUAAGUAUUAUCCUAGAUAUGUCUUGGAGGCGGACCUAAAAGGGUUUUUCGAUAAUAUCGACCAAGAUUGAAUCAUGAAUAAUAUACCAUUAGAUAAAAAAAUAUUAAAACAAUUUUUAAAGGCAGGUUUUAUGGAAGCUAAUGAUAUCAAAAUACAAAAAACUGAUCUUGGAGUCCCACAAGGUGGAAUUAUCUCUCCGAUGAUUUCAAAUAUGGUUUUAGAUGGUCUUCAUGAUCAUAUAAAAAAAAGACUAAGAGAAAAGAAAGUAUUAGGUCAAGUCAUUGGUAAUGUAAAAUUUGCUAGAUAUGCGGAUGAUUUUAUAGUAUCUUAUCCUUAUGAUUGAUUAACAAUUAUAAUAAAGGAUGCUAUAAAUGAAUUCUGUAAACCUCGUGGAAUUUCUUUAAAUGAAGAAAAAACUAAAGUUACUGAUACCACUACUUCAAUAGAUGGUAUCAAAUUUUUAGGAGUCAACAUUAUGCGGGCUCAUAAAAAUGUUUACGAUAAAAGACCGAAAGAAUCGGUACGUAAUUCAGAACUUUAUAUCUUAUCAAAACCUCAAAAAAGUAAGAUGAGAGAUCUAAUUGUUAGAGUUAAAAAUAAUUUAAAGAAAAAUCAUCACCUUGAGUUGAAAGAUAUUAUUUCUAUUUUAAAUCCAAUACUUAGGGGUUGAGCUAAAUACUAUGCUAUAACGAAUGCUUCACAAGAGUUUAGAUCUUUAGAUCAAGUAAUUUGAAAGGAAGUAAUCUGAUGAUUAGGUAAGAAGUAUAAAUUAAAGUCUAUUAGUAAGAUAACAAGUAGACAUUGCCUAAAAACAAAGUCUCAUCUUUCUAAUACUACAAUAGGUUAUAUGGAUAAGGAUAAACCAGUCUAUUUAUACGAAUUAAACAAGGUAACUUGAAUUCGUAAACAUAAAAUAAAUAGAACAAAUCCUUUUGCACCUAAGAGGUGAUUUAUAGUGAAAAAGUAAAUUAUCAUUAUCUAAAAUAAGUAGUAGCUAAUAUUUAUUUGAUUAUAAAAAAAUAAUAAGGCCUGAGCCGUAUGCGGUGAAAGUCGCACGUACGGUUCUAAGGGGGGGAAAGCUCGUGAGGGCCUACCUAUCCUGAUUAGACAUAGAGGGCAAGCAUUGAUCAGAAUGGCUUAAAGGAUCUGUAGAACGUAUUUUUAUAAUAAAAAUAUAGAAUAAUAACUCAUAAAGAGAAAGGGUAAUAAGAAUUAAAGUUAGAGGGAUAAAAUACGACGAAAACAUUAAGACUAUAAAGAGAUUACUCUAAAUUAUUGACGUUGUGAGAUGAAGGCUACGGUAGCGACAUGGAUUCGAUACCCAUUUAGUCGUAGCAGUUAACUAUGAGUACAAUAAAAGAAAAAUGAAAAUGAAUAGUACUCCGCCUGACUAGUACGCUCGCAAGGGUGAAAUACAAGACAUUAGACGGUUGUAGUCCCAAGCAGUGGAACAUGUCAUUUAAUUGGAUGAUCCUCCAAGAACCUUACCAUCUCUUGAAUUUUUAACAGGCGUUACAUCGUUGUCGUCAGUUCAUGCCGUGAGGUUUAAUAUUAAGUUAUUGAAUGAACGUAACCCUUUUCUUUUAAGAUAAGUAUAAUUGUAAAAUUAUAGGAAGUAGAGGUAGAAGACUAAUCAUGAUGACCCUAAUGAGAUGGGCUAUCGACGUGUUACAAUAUUAAUAACAAUUAUAUUAACUUUAUUAGUUAAGAUAUAUAUAUACUUUGUAUAUUUAUUAAAUAUUAAGAAUAAGACAUAGUUUCAUUUAUGAAUUGUAAUCUGAAAUUCGGUUACAUAAAGGAGGAAUUGCUAGUAAUCGUAAACUAGAGAGUUACGGUGAAAUUUUUUGCUACUUCGUACUAACCACUCAUCAACAGCAAGAAAUUUUAAUUUUACUUAUUGAGUUUUUAUUAAAAGGACUUGCUGUAAGUUGAAAUACGGUUCGGUUAGGGGAACCUGAUCGGGAUUUAUUUAUUUA
rnacentral:rRNA from 1 species